GUCCCUGUCGUUCAACGGAUAGGACAAGGGUUUCCUAAACCCUAGAUACAGGUUCGAUUCCUGUCAGGGACA
rnacentral:tRNA from 1 species